ensembl:miRNA mir199-3a microRNA 199b
CCGGCUCCGUCCACCCAGUGUUCAGACUACCUGUUCAUUGUCAUACUGGUGUACAGUAGUCUGCACAUUGGUUAGACUGGGCACGG